CAGUCGCCGCGGUAAUACGAGGGGGGCAAGCGUUGUUCGGAUUUAUUGGGCGUAAAGGGUGCGUAGGCGGUUUGGCAAGUCUUGUGUGAAAUCUUCGGGCUCAACCCGAAGCCUGCACGAGAAACUACCGGACUUGAGUAUUGGAGAGGUGAGUGGAAUUUCCGGUGUAGCGAUGAAAUGCGUAGAUAUCGGAAGGAACACCUGUGGCGAAAGCGGCUCACUGGACAAUAACUGACGCUGAUGCACGAAAGCUAGGGGAGCAAACAGGAUUAGAUACCCCAGUAGUCCCUGUCUCUUAUAC
rnacentral:rRNA from 1 species